rnacentral:rRNA from 1 species
GUUGUUGACGUUAAAAGCUCGUAGUCGAACUUCGGCCUUUGCUGGUCGGUCCGCCUUUUGGUGUGUACUGAUCUAGCGAAGGCUUACCUCUUGGUGAACUGCGAUGCCCUUUAUUGGGUGUUGUAGGGAACCAAGACUUUUACUUUGAAAAAAUUAGAGUGUUCAAAGCAGGCCUACGCCCGAAUACAUUAGCAUGGAAUAAUAGAAUAGGACGCGCACUCCUAUUUUGUUGGUUUCUAGGAGCGCCGUAAUGAUUAAUAGGGAUAGUUGGGGGCAUUUGUAUUACAGCGGCAGAGGUGAAAUUCUUGGAUUGCUGUAAGACAAACUACUGCGAAAGCAUUUGCCAAGGAUGUUUUCAUUGAUCAAGAACGAAGGUUAGGGGAUCAAAAACGAUCAGAUACCGUUGUAGUCUUAACAGUAAACUAUGCCGACUAGGGAUCGGACGAUGUUAUUUUUUGACGCGUUCGGCACCU